rnacentral:rRNA from 1 species
CUUAAUGAGAGUUUGAUCCUAGCUCAGGGUGAAUGCUGGCGGCGUGGAUAAGUCAUGCAAGUCGAGCGAUGCAGCUGCCAACACCAAGCUCCCAACAAACAACAGUAAUGCAGCUUUUGAGGUUGCGAUAUACUUAUCGCCAAUGGCCUUUCGUUAUCGAAAGUUUAAGGUUUACCAGGAUGCGCUUAUCCUUCAUCGGAAAGCCGCACACUUGGCAGAACGAUUCCCAAAAGAGUACUGGCAUUUGGCAGACCAGUUUCGGCGCGCGGCACUUUCAGUGACGCUAAAUAUCGCCGAGGGUUCAGCCAAAGAAUCUGAUAAAGACUUCAAUCGUUUCAUCGCAAUGUCACUCGGUUCGGUUAACGAGACCGUGGCAUGUUGCGAAGUUGCGCUUGAAGCCAAGCUGUUUUCAGGGCGCGAGUUUUCCGAAAUGGAAGCACUCGCUCUUGAAGUGGCGAAUCAGCUCGGAGGUUUAUCAAAAAAGCUUCGGGCUAAGUUGGAGGUUUAGUGUUGGUAGUUGUAUAGCGGCAAACGAGGUAGUAACACGUAGGUACGUCCCCCGAAGUCGGGCAUAGCGAGCCGAAAGGUUCGGUAAUUCCCGAUAGUCCUGUAAAGGUAAAGGCAAUAGCAAUAUUCGCCGCUUCGGGAGCGGCCUGCGUAGUAUCAGCUAGUUGGUAGGGUAAUGGCCUACCAAGGCUACGACGCUUAGGGGCGCUGAGAGGCGGACCCCCAACGAUCGGACUGAGAUACGGCCGAUACUCCUACGGGAGGCUGCAGACGAGAAUAUUCCGCAAUGGACGAAAGUCUGACGGAGCGACGCCGCGUGAUUGAUGAAGUGCUUCGGUACGUAAAAAUCUUUUAUCGGGGACGAAGUUUAUUGACGGUACCCGAUGAAUAAGGAGCUCCUAACUCUGUGCCAGCAGGAGCGGUAAUACAGAGGCUCCAAGCAUUACCCGGAAUCACUGGGCGUAAAGGGUGUCUAGGCGGCCAUAUU